CGGCAACAGUGAUGAGAGGAGUUGUGGCUGUAGGUAACGUCUCGUUACGGCAUGGAGACACCAGUCCCUCUAACCUGACGUUGCCG
rnacentral:snoRNA from 1 species